AGCUGUUGUCUGUCACUGAUACCCACUGUCUUCUUGCCCAGAACCCCUUCUUCUGAGGAUUUUCCCAGUCUCCAUGUGGGAGACAACUAUGGCCUAGACAGCUGUGCUUCACAGGGAACCUGUGCCCGAACAUUCACAUUAACUUCCCCUUGUUGUUCGCCCUCCAAACAUGAACUCAGCAGUCUCGGCACUCUCAAAAGGAAAGACAGCAAGAUAACACGGGCUUGCAAUUCUGCUGUCACGUAGCCUGAAGAUGUCUCUCAUGGUGGAGGACUGGAAUUCAGCAGUUAAUGACAUCGUAGCUAAGGAUCGAUGGACUCAACAAAGCAAGAGUCUUCAAACAAGUCCUGCUACUCAAACUAUUUAAGAAGCAAGCAUUUUCCCAGGA